rnacentral:rRNA from 1 species
GACGAACGCUGGCGGCGUGCCUAAUACAUGCAAGUCGAGCGACGCGGCGGAGGGGUGCGUAACGCGUGGGUAACCUGCACUUCAGUCUGGAAUACAAAUUGAAAACAGAUGCUAAUACCGGAUACUGAAGGAAGAGGCGGCGAUGAAUUGGAUAGUAGGUCAGGUAACGGCUUACCAAGGCGAUGAUGCAUAGCCGGGUUGAGAGACUGAUCGGCCACAUUGGGACUGAGACACGGCCCAAACUCCUACGGGAGGCAGCAGUAGGGAAUCUUCAACAAUGGACGAAAGUCUGAUGGAGCAACGCCGCGUGAGUGAAGAAGGUUUUCGGAUCGUAAAGCUCUGUUGUUGGUGAAGCGGUAAUCAACCAGAAAGUCACGGCUAACUACGUGCCAGCAGCCGCGGUAAUAC